rnacentral:lncRNA from 10 species
AGAGGAGGAUGUUAGGACACAGACAUACCCAGAGGGAAGACCAUGUGAGGACACGAGGAAAAUAUGCCAUCUAUGAGCCAAGGAGAGGGAAACCAAUCCUGCCAACACCUUGAUUGUGGACUGCCAGCCCCCAGAGCUGCAAGACGCUACUAGCUCCACUGAACCCAGAAUUUCUAUGGACGAGGGGCUGAAGUGGAGAGUGAUACAAUCUGAUAUGUGCAUCUUCAAGAUCCCUCUGACUGCUGUGUGGCUAAUGGACUGGAGCUGGAGGGGGUGUCAGUGGGAGCAGGGAGUCCGAGUAUGUCUAUUUUGAUCAUCCAGGUAAGAGAUGCUCUUGGUCCAGACUUGGCUUUGGGCUAUUUUGCAGGUGGAGUUAAUAAGUGUUGUAUGUAGGAUGUGAGAGAAACUGAGAAAUCAAGAAUAAUUCUUUGAUGUUUUAUCUGAGCAACUAGGAUCAUGGUGUGCCAGUACUCAGAGCUGGGAGGCUGGCGGGGAGCAGAAUUCUUGAGGAGGGCUGUGCUGUUUGA